AGCGACAACGGCGAAUAUAAAAAGUGAAAAGUUGCAUAAUUCUAAUAGCCGUGUUUUCUUUUGUCUCGCCCCUCGGGGCCUGAUGAAUGGGCUGAUGCUUUGUGGUCACAAAUUACUCAUACGCCGCGUUGCCCAAGAAAUACUCAGCAUUUAAACUUGACCAGAAACAAGCGACGAGCGACAAAAGACAAGCGACUAGCGACUUGCAGGCCAAAGCCGUUGGCUGCCAUUGACAGUUAUCGUUAGAGCCGUAGACGAACCUUGGCCAAAACGACUGGCCAGUGAAUCAAUAAGCCAAACAAAUUAUGGCCGCAGCCGAAGAACUAAAAGAGCACAGACACCAUGAGGCAACUGAGCAGAGAGCAACUCCUGGCGCUGGUCCUGGCCAGCGUCCUGUGCCUGGUCACCAUCAGCGCAGUGCCCCUCCCCAGUCCGGCCGGAAACCAGGAGCUGGACGUCCUGCAGAUCCCCCUGGCCAAUGGCAAGGAAAUCGACGUCCUCACCCUGGGCGCCAAAGACCAGGAGCAGAUGAUUGCCGAUCGGAACAAGAGGACGAUUGGACUGCUGCGGGAGCUGUUCCCCGACAUCACCAAGGAAAUCGACUCGAUAGUCAAUCGCAUUAUAGCCCAGGUAAUACGCGUGGCCGGACCGGGCCUCUUGAACAGUGUUCUGGCCGGAAACCGGGGUGGGGCUGCGGCUGGUGGUGCCGGAGGGCGCGCCACCACGCCCUCCUCCAGCUUCGAUGCCGACUUCGACGCCGAUUUCGAUGACGAUGACGACGACAGCGGGUCUUCGGGCAGUGCCUCGAGCAGUGCCAGUCCCAGUGCCCCGGCGACGAGGAGCGCGGUCAGCGCGAAGGCCAAUGAGGUGGACGAGAGCACGAGGAUCAAGAUCGAUCUGCCGACCUUUGCCCCAAAAGCCUCGGAAGCUGCAAACCAAGGUGACAGUAGCUCCGCAAAUCCGCCACCAUUACCGACAACAACUCCAGAAACUACCACCUCAAGUACCAGCUCCAGUAAUCCCACUAGCACCACCUCCAACCCCACCAUACCCACCACCACCACCUCCUCGCCAGUGGAGGCUCUCUUAGAGCUGAUUCCGCGCUCCCUGGAGCCAUCAACCACGAGUGCAUCCGCAUCUGCAACAACUCCAUCGACAGCAAUCAGCACCACUACUGAUACUGAUUCUGUCACCGAUCUAUCCCAACCACCACGAGACUCCACCAUCCAGAAUCCCACCAACAGCAUCGACGAACCUCUAUUGUUAAACAUUAUUGCUGAUAUCAAUCGUUUAUUAAAUUCUACCAAUUAUUUUAUCACAACCAGAGACAAUCUAACAGCGACAGAAAGCUCAGCAUCGACCGAAGUCCCGACCAUUGACAACAACCUCAUAACAAAAUUAUUGCCCGUCUUUGAUUGAAAGUGAAAAAGGACGCGAGGAAAAGGACAGAAAAGGCUAGAACCAAGGAUUUAAAAGGCAAACCCACCACAACAGAACAAUCCCAGUACAGACACUGUCACAAAUGGAUGCUGCAGAAGAUAGAGAGACACACUAGCAUUAUUUUUAAACACAAUCAGGGCCAAUCGAAACUCCCCCCUCAUCGGUUCAGUAAAUGGUUCCCAGGUGGUUUACACCCCCCACCCCCAAACCGUAGAACUCCCCUUUCAGAACUCAUCCUUCACUCACGAUCCCACCUCGUAGGUCUCCUUCCCAUUGAACACCUAACCGAAAACUGAGUAAAAGUAUACUAAUAAUCCACACCUUGCACCGCCCGUUCUGAACCGAAACUCGCACCACCCCAUUCGUGGUUGUUGUAGCAAAUCGACGAGCAAGCCAACCGCAUAAUCUCCAAGCUGCUCCGCACCCUGGGACCAACGGUCCUCCGGACCGCCAUUCAGGGCAACAGCGCUAACGCGGCCAGGACCAGCUUCGACGCCGACUUCGACGACGACGAGACCUCGAGCUCGAGCUCGAGCGGCUCCACCACCAGCACCUCCAGCGACUCCAGCGGCACCCGCGUCACCAUCGAGCUGCCCACCUUCGAGCCCGACGACGACAACGAGAUCGACGCGGCGGAGAAGAGCUCCACUACCACCACCACCACGACCACCACGACCACCGAGUCCACCUAGGUCCCUCAGGGCACAAGUCAAUAAGAAAUAAUGCACCAACAACAGCGGCCCCCGACACAAUCCCAAAGCAAAAAUAAUUCAAAGUUUACGGAAAAUUAAAUCAAGUCGAUAUGUUAACCCACACUGAUUGUUUUGAAAUUACUUUUCUGGUUACACACUGGUUUUCAGCACACUCACGCACACACCAAGAACAUGAACUAUCCCUAUGAAAUCGACCAUCCGCUGCCCUAUCCGGCUCUAUCUUUCCCUCUUUUCUACGCUGUCUCACUUUCUCCGCCUUCUCCACUUUCUUCCUCCUCUGCUCCGAAUCCCCAUUAGCCACUCCUCCUGUACAAAUCCUUCCACUUUCUCAUGCGCACAUCAUCCUACCUAGGUUAGUAGGUGUUUUAGAGGAUAACCGUAUUUUACACAUAUAUUGUACUAGCCAUGUAAGAACUUUUAUAAUACGUUUUCAAAUAUAUCGCCCGUUGUGACUACUGCGGAACCACCCCAGA